UACGAAGGGGGCUAGCGUUGUUCGGAAUCACUGGGCGUAAAGCGCCCGUAGGCGGCUGUGCCAGUCAGGGGUGAAAUCCCGGAGCUCAACUCCGGAACUGCCUCUGAUACAGCACGUCUUGAGUUCGAGAGAGGUGGGUGGAAUUCCUAGUGUAGAGGUGAAAUUCGUAGAUAUUAGGAAGAACACCGGUGGCGAAGGCGGCCCACUGGGCCGGUACUGACGCUGAGGUGCGAAAGCGUGGGGAGCAAACAGG
rnacentral:rRNA from 1 species